GUCAGGUAAUUCGAAUGUGGGAG
rnacentral:piRNA from 1 species